UCUUGUGUCCUGAGUGAUCUUUGACUUGAUGUGUCUCCCCCUCUCUGUCCCUGCAGCAUGAAGAUACUCCUGCUGCUCCUCCUCCUCACCUCAUGUCCCUCUGCAGCAACAUUUGUAGUGACUGUGAACCAGAGCUCCUAUCAGGCAGAGGAGAACCAGGACAUCAGCCUGGAGUAGACCUUCACUAGCAGACCUGACAGAUCCUGGACACAGCUGUUUAUCUACUGCAGUUUGUUAGCUCCUGUCAGAGAGGCAGUCCUGUAUCAGGUCCAUGAAGGCCUUGAGGUGUCAGAGUCUCAGGAUCAACAGUUUGCAGGACGAGUCCUCUGUGACAAAGACGUCCUCAGAGAAGGACGCCUCAGACUGCAUCUGUCCAAACUCAGGACUGAGGACUCUGGUCUGUAUCAGUGUGAAGUGAAGACUGAAGAUGGUUCUGGAUUUAAAACCUGUCACCUGAAUGUUUCUGCAGCUGCUGAUCAGCUCCAAACUCACACACCAACCUGGACUCCACAACCUGAGGAACAGACAUUAAACAUCUGUUGUG